rnacentral:lncRNA from 1 species
AUAUGAUUUGAUUACAUCCAGUUGUGAUUCAUAAGUUGUGAAUUCAAUUUACUUAUCCGUUCGUAUAAAAAUUGAUUUGUGUAUGUUGGUUGAGAGUGCACGCUUAAUUUUCAUGCAUGAAUUUGACGCUAGAAUAUAAGGGAGUUUCACCUAAUCGUUAUGAACUUAUAUUCACAAGUAGUGAAGGUUGCUAGUCACAAUCACGUUAAGUAAAUUCUUAGCAUAAGUUUCAUGCAAAUCAUAGUAACGAGUGCCUCGUCAAUGCUUAUGUUUUUCAUAGAAC